GAGGGCAUAGCUCAGUGGUAGAGCACAUGUCUAGAAUGCAUAAGGUCCUGAGUUCAAUUCCCAAUACCUCUG
rnacentral:tRNA from 1 species